UGAGGAGAUGCUGGGACUGA
rnacentral:miRNA from 1 species